GGAGGAUAGCGCCCAGUGGUGGGCAACCGGCCUCGAAAGCCGGGCCGCCGGAAACGGCGAGGGUUCGACUCCUUUACCUUCCG
rnacentral:tRNA from 1 species